CAGUCGCCGCGGGAAUACGUAGGUGGCAAGCGUUGUCCGGAAUUAUUGGGCGUAAGGGGCUCGCAGGCGGUUUCUUAAGUCUGGUGUGAAAGCCCCCGGCUCAACCGGGGAGGGUCAUUGGAAACUGGGAAACUUGAGUGCAGAAGAGGAGAGUGGAAUUCCACGUGUAGCGGUGAAAUGCGUAGAGAUGUGGAGGAACACCAGUGGCGAAGGCGACUCUCUGGUCUGUAACUGACGCUGAGGAGCGAAAGCGUGGGGAGCGAACAGGAUUAGAUACCCCGGUAGUCCCUGUCUCUUAUAC
rnacentral:rRNA from 1 species